AGUGAACGCUGGCGGUAGGCCUAACACAUGCAAGUCGAACGGCAGCACAGUAAGAGCUUGCUCUUACGGGUGGCGAGUGGCGGACGGGUGAGGAAUACAUCGGAAUCUACUUUUUCGUGGGGGAGAACGUAGGGAAACUUACGCUAAUACCGCAUACGACCUACGGGUGAAAGCAGGGGAUCUUCGGACCUUGCGCGAGUGAAUGAGCCGAUGUCGGAUUAGCUAGUUGGCGGGGUAAAGGCCCACCAAGGCGACGAUCCGUAGCUGGGCUGAGAGGAUGAUCAGCCACACUGGAACUGAGACACGGUCAAGACUCCUACGGGAGGCAGCAGUGGGGAAUAUUGGACAAUGGGCGCAAGCCUGAUCGAGCAAGAGCGCGUGGGUGAAGAAGGCCUUCUGGUUGUAAAGCCCUUUUGUUGGGAAAGAAAAGUAGCAGGUUAAUACCCCGCUGUUCUGACGGUACCCAAAGAAUAAGCACCGGCUAACUUCGUG
rnacentral:rRNA from 1 species